GGAGACCACUCCUACGGGAGGCAGCAGUGGGGAAUAUUGCACAAUGGGCGCAAGCCUGAUGCAGCCAUGCCGCGUGUAUGAAGAAGGCCUUCGGGUUGUAAAGUACUUUCAGCAGUGAGGAAGGUGGAUAUGUUAAUAGCAUAUUCAUUUGACGUUAGCUGCAGAAGAAGCACCGGCUAACUCCGUGCCAGCAGCCGCGGUAAUACGGAGGGUGCGAGCGUUAAUCGGAAUUACUGGGCGUAAAGCGCAUGCAGGUGGUUUGUUAAGUCAGAUGUGAAAGCCCGGGGCUCAACCUCGGAAUUGCAUUUGAAACUGGCAAACUAGAGUACUGUAGAGGGGGUAGAAUUUCAGGUGUAGCGGUGAAAUGCGUAGAGAUCUGAAGGAAUACCGGUGGCGAAGGCGGCCCCCUGGACAGAUACUGACACUCAGAUGCGAAAGCGUGGGGAGCAAACAGGAUUAGAUACCCUGGUAG
rnacentral:rRNA from 1 species